GACCAAACCAGUUUCGGAAUCGAUCAAAGCCGCUCUCCAAUUAUUCCCCAUCUGUUGAAUCACUCGUUUCCUGAAGAAAGGCUCAAAGACUCGGUGGUGGAGCUCCAGUUUACAUGGCCGCCGUCCUCCUCGCUGCUGAAGUGUUACAGCUUGCUGCGAGAGACAACAAGACGUCGAAGAUAAUUCUCAGUCAUGGAAUGAUGAAGCUUUUACCAAAUUUCUCUUUUUUUCUUUCUUUUUUUGGUGUCAAACCUUUUUUUAGA